rnacentral:rRNA from 1 species
AGUGAACGCUGGCGGCGGGCCUAACACAUGCAAGUCGAACGGAAGCACAGUAAGAGCUUGCUCUUACGGGUAGCGAGUGGCGGGCGAGUGAGGAAUGCAUCGGCAUCUACUUUUUCGUGGGGGAUAACGUGGGGCCACUUACGCUAAUACCGCAUACGACCUACGGGUGAAAUCAGGGGAUAUUCGGACCUUGCGCGUUUGAUUGAGCCGAUGUCGGAUUAGCUAGUUGGCGGGGUAAAGGCCCACCAAGGCGACGAUCCGUAGCUGGUCUGAGAGGAUGAUCAGCCACACUGGAACUGAGACACGGUCCAGACUCCUACGGGAGGCAGCAGUAGGGAAUAUUGGGCAAUGGGCGAAAGCCUGAUCCAGCCAUGCCGCGUGAGUGAAGAAGGCCUUCGGGUUGUAAAGCCCUGUUGUUGGGAAAGAAAAGCAGCAGGUGAAUACCCCGCUGUUCUGACGGUACCCAAAGAAUAAGCACCGGCUAACUUCGUG